rnacentral:rRNA from 1 species
GGCCAGACUCCUACGGGAGGCAGCAGUGGGGAAUAUUGCACAAUGGGGGAAACCCUGAUGCAGCGACGCCGCGUGAGUGAAGAAGUAUUUCGGUAUGUAAAGCUCUAUCAGCAGGGAAGAAAAAAGACGGUACCUGACUAAGAAGCCCCGGCUAACUACGUGCCAGCAGCCGCGGUAAUACGUAGGGGGCAAGCGUUAUCCGGAUUUACUGGGUGUAAAGGGAGCGUAGACGGCGCGGCAAGUCUGAAGUGAAAGGCGGGGGCUUAACCCCUGAACUGCUUUGGAAACUGUGCAGCUAGAGUGCAGGAGAGGUAAGUGGAAUUCCUAGUGUAGCGGUGAAAUGCGUAGAUAUUAGGAGGAACACCAGUGGCGAAGGCGGCUUACUGGACUGUAAAUGACGUUGAGGCUCGAAAGCGUGGGGAGCAAACAGGAUUAGAUACCCCAGUAU